rnacentral:rRNA from 1 species
GACGAACGCUGGCGGCGUGCCUAACACAUGCAAGUCGAGCGAUGAAAUCCCUUCGGGGAUGGAUUAGCGGCGGACGGGUGAGUAACACGUGGGCAACCUACCUCAAAAUGGGGGAUAGCCUCCCGAAAGGGAGAUUAAUACCGCAUAACAUUAGUUUUUCACAUGAAGAACUAAUUAAAGGAGCAAUCCGUUUUGAGCUGGGCCCGCGGCGCAUUAGCUAGUUGGUGAGGUAAUGGCUCACCAAGGCGACGACGCGUAGCCGACCUGAGAGGGUGAUCGGCCACAUUGGAACUGAGACACGGUCCAGACUCCUACGGGAGGCAGCAGUGGGGAAUAUUGCACAAUGGGGGAAACCCUGAUGCAGCAACGCCGCGUGAGUGAUGAAGGUCUUCGGAUUGUAAAGCUCUGUCUUUUGGGACGAUAAUGACGGUACCAAAGGAGGAAGCCACGGCUAACUACGUGCCAGCAGCCGCGGUAACAC